rnacentral:rRNA from 1 species
UUUUAUGAGAGUUUGAUCCUGGCUCAGGACGAACGCUGGCGGCGUGCCUAAUACAUGCAAGUCGAACGCUUCUUUUUCCACCGGAGCUUGCUCCACCGGAAAAAGAAGAGUGGCGAACGGGUGAGUAACACGUGGGUAACCUGCCCAUCAGAAGGGGAUAACACUUGGAAACAGGUGCUAAUACCGUAUAACAAUCAAAACCGCAUGGUUUUGAUUUGAAAGGCGCUUUCGGGUGUCGCUGAUGGAUGGACCCGCGGUGCAUUAGCUAGUUGGUGAGGUAACGGCUCACCAAGGCCACGAUGCAUAGCCGACCUGAGAGGGUGAUCGGCCACAUUGGGACUGAGACACGGCCCAAACUCCUACGGGAGGCAGCAGUAGGGAAUCUUCGGCAAUGGACGAAAGUCUGACCGAGCAACGCCGCGUGAGUGAAGAAGGUUUUCGGAUCGUAAAACUCUGUUGUUAGAGAAGAA